rnacentral:rRNA from 1 species
UAAUACGUAGGGGGCAAGCGUUGUCCGGAAUCACUGGGCGUAAAGGGCGCGUAGGCGGUUUGUUAAGUCAGGUGUGAAAGUUUUCAGCUUAACUGGAAAAGUGCACUUGAAACUAACUUACUUGAGUACUGGAGAGGUAAGCGGAAUUCCUAGUGUAGCGGUGAAAUGCGUAGAUAUUAGGAAGAACACCGGUGGCGAAGGCGGCUUACUGGACAGAGACUGACGCUGAGGCGCGAAAGCGUGGGGAGCGAACAGGAUUAGAUACCCUGGUAGUCCACGCCGUAAACGAUGAGUAUUAGGUGUUGCCGAGAGGCAGUGCCGCAGUUAACGCAAUAAAUACUCCGCCUGGGGAGUACGGCCGCAAGGUUGAAACUCAAAGGAAUUGACGGGGGCCCGCACAAGCAGCGGAGCAUGUGGUUUAAUUCGAAGCAACGCGAAGAACCUUACCAGAACUUGACAUCGUCUGAAUCAUCCGUAAUGGGAAAAAUCCUUCGGGACAGACAGACAGGUGGUGCAUGGUUGUCGUCAGCUCGUGUCGUGAGAUGUUGGGUUAAGUCCCGCAACGAGCGCAACCCUUAUUGCUAGUUGCCAUCAUUAAGUUGGGCACUCUAGUGAGACUGCCGGAGACAAUUCGGAGGAAGGUGGGGAUGACGUCAAAUCAUCAUGCCCCUUAUGUUCUGGGCUACACACGUGCUACAAUGGGUGUAACAACGGGAAGCGAGCUGGUGACAGCAAGCCAACCUCUAAAAAGCACCCUCAGUUCGGAUUGCAGGCUGAAACCCGCCUGCAUGAAGUUGGAGUUGCUAGUAAUCGCGAAUCAGCAUGUCGCGGUGAAUACGUUCCCGGGCCUUGUACACACCGCCCGUCACACCAUGGGAGUUGGAAGCACCCGAAGCCGGUGACUUAACCGCAAGGAGAGAGCCGUCGAAGGUGAAGCCAGCGACUGGGGUG